GAUGAAGAACGUAGCGAAAUGCGAUACUUGGUGUGAAUUGCAGAAUCCCGUGAACCAUCGAGUCUUUGAACGCAAGUUGCGCCCGAAGCCGUCAGGCCGAGGGCACGCCUGCCUGGGCGUCACACGCCGUUGCCCCCCCGCGCCCCGCACCCAACUCUUUGGGAGCGACCGCGGGGCGGGCUGAUGAUGGCCUCCCGUGCGCUCCGCCGCGCGGUUGGCCCAAAUACCGAGUCCCCGGCGACGUGCGCCACGACGAUCGGUGGUUGAGAGACCUCUGUCGCAAGUCGUGCGCGCCCGUCGCGUCACGCGGGCUCGCAUAGCGCCUCGCGCCGCACCCGGUGCGGAGCUUUCAAUGCGACCCCAGGUCAGGCGGGGUUACCCGCUGAAUUUAAGCAUAUCAAUAAGCGGAGGA
rnacentral:misc_RNA from 1 species